UUUCCGUAGGUGAACCUGCGGAAGGAUCAUUAUUGUAUAACCGAGGUGCGAGGGCUGUCGCUGACCCGAAAGGUCGUGCACGCCCGAGUGCCCUCACACACAUCCAUCUCACCCCUAUGUGCACCACCGCGUGGGUCCCCCUUUGGCUUGUUCGGAGGGGGGCUUACGUUUUCACACAAACUUUGUAUGCAGUGUAGAAUGUAUUUUUUGUUUUUGCGAUCACGCAAUCAAUACAACUUUCAACAAUGGAUCUCUUGGCUCUC
rnacentral:misc_RNA from 1 species